AUUGAACGCUGGCGGCAGGCCUAACACAUGCACGUCGAGCGGGCGGCGGACGGGUGGUUAAUGUAUGGGGAUCUGGCUGAUGGAGGGGGCUAACUAGUGGAAACGGUAGAUACUACCGCAUAACAUCAGUUGAGCCCACAUGGGAUUAGCUUGUAGGUGAGGUAAAGGCUCACCUAGGCGACGAGCCCUAGCUAGUCUGAGAGGAUGAUCAGCCACACUGGGACUGAGACACGGCCCAGACUCCUACGGGAGGCAGCAGUGGGGAAUAUUGCACAAUGGGCGAAAGCCUGAUGCAGCCAUGCCGCGUGUAUGAAGAAGGCCUUCGGGUUGUAAAGUACUUUCAGUCGGGAGGCGUUACCGAAAGAAGAAGCACCGGCUAACUCCGUGCCAGCCGCCGCGGUAAUUC
rnacentral:rRNA from 1 species